rnacentral:lncRNA from 1 species
AUAGAUUUACAAAAAAUCAAUGAAAUAGAAGGAAAUAAUGGCUAAAAAUGUUCGAAUUAAAUGAUUGUCCCAAUAAUUUCUACCUGACAUAGAAUCUGCAGUGGGUAAUCAUUUCACAAUUAGUAAUGGUAAACAAAGCUCAGUAAAUUAGUAAACACGGUCAGAGGCUGUCUCAAAACAUAAUCCAAACCACUUGUCUGGGAUAGAGAAGUAAAACAAAUGUUGGUGAUUCACAGGAAUAUUGGUACUACCUACUCUGCGUACGACUAGUAAAUCGCAUCUAAGAGAAAAUGUUGUUUCUCAAACGAUGAGUUAGAAGUAAAUGAACAGACGAAUAAACGAUUUGGAGGCUAUGAUUUUAAUUCACCCAGAAAAGCCUUGGAUACCCGAAAAUGUCUAAUUCACACACACUCAUAUAAGUAUAUCACUCAAGUAUCCGAUUUUAAACGUUUGCCAAGACCAAAUGUCACUUAAUAGUUUAUCGUUUUUAGUUCACACAGGGGAUUAUACUUAUAAUGUUUUUCAAAACUGAAAUAUAUGAUGUACCACAUACACGGAACUGCGAAGUGGAGCAAAUGCAUUGACAAAUUUUCAGACGUUGACUUUCUUGGAGAUAAUUCUACCGACUCAUAUGAAGCCAUACAAUAUUGGAGAGAAUUAUGAAACUUAAAGGUAAUACAAUUUUGCUGAGCAAGAAUCCAAUUUUAAUAACGCGGCGGGCUUCAACAUAUUUAUAUUGCAAAGAAACACAUAACUAGUUUGGACAUUGGUAUCUUUUCUGAAGGGAAAGUGCAUCUAGUUGGAUGCGUUAAACAGGUAAAGAUUGAAUGUUCCCAGU